UACGUAGGGUGCAAGCGUUAAUCGGAAUACUGGGCGUAAAGCGUGCGCAGGCGGUGAUGUAAGACAGUUGUGAAAUCCCCGGGCUCAACCUGGGAACUGCAUCUGUGACUGCAUCGCUGGAGUGCGGCAGAGGGGGAUGGAAUUCCGCGUGUAGCAGUGAAAUGCGUAGAUAUGCGGAGGAACACCGAUGGCGAAGGCAAUCCC
rnacentral:rRNA from 1 species